CACUGCUAGGGUAAUAGUAGUAAUAAUAAAAUGGUUUUAAUCAGAUGGACUGAUCUUUCAGGUCUAGGAAAUAGGGUGGGGGAAGUUCAGGGGAAAGAUAAAUUCAGGGUCGGUUUCAUAAAUCAGGCUAUGCAUCUAAAGUAAGAGAGAAAGGUUAAUGCAGAACAUGACCAGAAGGACUUUGGUGAGAAUCAGGUUCUGGUCACCUGAUCAAAGUAGAGUGCAAGACUUCCUUUCCAACGGGCACCAGAGAUUUGAGGCCGUAGAAAUAUGGGAGAGAACAGGGAAUGGACUAAGUGAGUAAGUCAACCACAUCUACUCCUUGUCCAGUCUCUUAUGUCACUGUUCUGCGGUUAUACUAGUAGAGCAUUUCCUCAUCUGGGAAGUCUGCAACUUAAAGUCUGUGGGAAAUGUUCAGUUUAUUCUAACAAGGUAAUUCAUACAGAAAAGGGUCAAGAAAACUGGGAACUAUCAUUCAAAAGCCUCAGACCUCUGCUCUGGGUAUAGAACAGUAGACUAUUACAAACUCUUCUGGUUUGCACAGAAGAAAAAUGUUGACAAAUUGCCCAGCUGCAUUUUCUGUGUUAUAAAAUUGAAGUAGGGGGAGGCAGUCAGCAGAUGCUGGCUAUACAUUGCACUUAGCCUGGGAUGGGGUCAGGACAGCACGGACAGACACUGUUUAAUGGAAAGACCUAUGUCACAAUGCACUGAAUUUCUCACAGCAAGGCUGUAAAUGACAUCAAAAUACAGACAUCUAAGCUGAGACCCUUAGCAUCAUCCUCAAAGCACAAAAUGUUCACGGAGGGAAACCCUGGAAUCUCCCCCUGAAAACCUGUUAAUGUGGCUGAGAGCUCAAAACUGAAUCAUUGAAAACAGUAUAUUUUAUGGACAUAGAGAAAGAUGCUGCUUUUCUCCUGACAAUCUUCAAAGAGGGACCAGGUCAUGAUAAAGCAAAGCUGAAAGUCACUGCAGAGCAGAGAACAAAAGCAAAAGGAAGUUUUGCUGCUAACUGUCUCUAUCAAGUUUUUCUACAUUGAAGACAAACUGUGUAUGUGAUUUGUUCUCCUCAAAUGAGAUAUUCAGGGUACGUUGCUCAAAUAAAGAGGGCAAAGCGAUAUGGAGCACAUAGAAAAGAAGAGCGUUUACAUUGAAAGUGAAUUCCGGAGCAAGGAAGUUAUUGGCAUUCGUUUAGUGUACCACAAUGCUAGGGCUGAGGCCUCCGGGAUCCUCUGGGCCUUUUUCAUGGUUGAAAAAUGACAGUGGCAGCUUCAUUCCUUGUGCCCAGUUCCAGAGAGGAGGAAUGAGAAAGGAGCAAGAAGAAAAGGCUGACAUCUAUGGGAAGCCAAACUUUUUCAGGAAUCCCCUGCUCAGCACAAUCAUAACUACAUAGAUGAUUACAGUUGUAUGUUCGGAGAAAAAGAGGAGAGAGAAGACUAAGACUCAUAGGAAAGAAUCCUGCUUUUAUUAAUCAUUCAUACAUAUUUUCAUUUAUGUUUUGAAAGCCAACAACAUACCAGGCUGUCUGUUUGGCACUUAAUAUCUUCAGUCUGACCGAUACCAACUUCGGUUUUCUUGUGGAAAAAAUAAGGAUGUGGUAAGUUCAGACCCUUAACAUUCGAGAAAACCAAACAUAAUGAGCUACUGGUAAUCUUCUAGAUAUAAAUCCACCUAUUACCUCUGGAACUAUGACUGACUUUACCUUGUACCUGAAAUUAUCUUCUCUUUUUCAUUGACCAGCUCCUCCUGGGCAUUCAGAAUCCAGCAGGAACACUAUCGCCUCUAUGAACCCCAUACCAGCCCAGGCUAAGUAAGAUGCUGUGGUAGAUUACAUUUUCCAAAGAUGGCUACACCAAGAUAUAUCCUGCCCCACAUAUCCUUCUUAUACCAUGACACUGACACGUCUCCAUCAAGAGAUGAGAUCCUUGUUCCCCUACCUUGACCUGGGUGGACCUUUGUAACUGCCUCAAACAACAGUGUGACAGAAGUGCAUGACCUCUCAGAUGUAUUUGUCGGGGUUUUCCAGAGAAACAGAAUCAAUAGGAUGUAUGCGUGUGUAUGCAUGUGUGUGCGUGUGUGUGUGUGUAGAGA
rnacentral:lncRNA from 1 species